rnacentral:lncRNA from 1 species
ACACAUAGUAGGAUCUUUAAUCCUUUCGAAAGGUAUUUAGGUAUGCUUAACAGAGGAUGUAGAGAAAGUCAUUUCUCAUGGGAUGGGAGCAUAGAGAUGAUCCCAGAACCUACAAUGAGUCGAUGUACGAUAUUGACUCCAAGAAAGAGAUGUGAAACAGCUUUUUUGAGAAGAGAUCUUUUGAACAUUUCUGUAUGGAAUAGCCU